rnacentral:rRNA from 1 species
UACGUAGGGUGCGAGCGUUAAUCGGAAUUACUGGGCGUAAAGUGUGCGCAGGUGGCCGCGCAAGUCGAGUGUGAAAUCCCCGAGCUUAACUUGGGAAUUGCGCUCGAAACUACGUGGCUCGAGUGUGGCAGAGGAAGGUGGAAUUCCUAGUGUAGAGGUGAAAUUCGUAGAUAUUAGGAAGAACACCGGUGGCGAAGGCGGUCGACUGGGCCAGUACUGACGCUGAGGCGCGACAGCGUGGGGAGCAAACAGG